CUCCUCUGGGGGUCACACCUGGAGAGUUACUAGUACUCUACCAGUCUCGACUAUGAGAGGGAGAGUCAAGCAGAGGCAAACCCAUUCCAUUCCUAGCUUGGGAAUGGCUAGCGAGUGGAAGGCAAUCUGCUACAAGU
rnacentral:snoRNA from 1 species